GUGGGGAAUCUUCCGCAAUGGACGAAAGUCUGACGGAGCAACGCCGCGUGAGUGAUGAAGGUCUUCGGAUUGUAAAGCUCUGUUAAUCGGGACGAAAGAGCCUAGUGUGAAUAAUGCUAGGAAGUGACGGUACCGGAAUAGAAAGCCACGGCUAACUACGUGCCAGCAGCCGCGGUAAUACGUAGGUGGCAAGCGUUGUCCGGAAUUAUUGGGCGUAAAGUGCGCGCAGGCGGAUCUGCCAGUCUGUCUUAAAAGUUCGGGGCUUAACCCCGUGAUGGGAUGGAAACUACAGAUCUAGAGUAUCGGAGAGGAAAGUGGAAUUCCUAGUGUAGCGGUGAAAUGCGUAGAUAUUAGGAAGAACACCAGUGGCGAAGGCGACUUUCUGGACGAAAACUGACGCUGAGGCGCGAAAGCCAGGGGAGCGAACGGGAUUAGAAACCCGAGUAGUCC
rnacentral:rRNA from 1 species